CUCCCGGCGCAGGUGCCGCAGAGCAGGGAGGCGGGUAACGCCCGCGGUCACGUCGCCCGAGAGUAGGAGCCGGACCCAGUCCUCUGGCCGCGGCCUCCACGGGCCAGACUCCACCAACUCCUCCCGGGCAUGGGAUCCAGCGGAGAACCGACGCCAACAGCUCUGGAGCUCCCGAGUUCCCCUCGUCCUGGCACCCACCUCCCAUGGGGCGACCACUACGCUCGCUGGAUGACAUCUCCGUGUCACCCUGCUUCGCGUUCCUUCCAGUCCUAAACUCCAAGAUUCAUGAAGCAAAACUCAAAACACUAAAGUUUAGUUCCAGGAAAGGAAUUUCAAGGUCAUCACUCUUGACUGCCCUCUAAAGAGCAUCAAGUAAGUACUCGGGCACUAACUCUUCCAAACUCUGAA